rnacentral:misc_RNA from 3 species
AACGCACAUUGCGCCCUCUGGUAUUCCGGAGGGCAUGCCUGUUCGAGCGUCAUUUCAACCCUCAAGCCUGGCUUGGUGAUGGGGCACUGCUUCCGCGAGGGAGCAGGCCCUGAAAUCUAGUGGCGAGCUCGCCAGGACCCCGAGCGCAGUAGUUAAACCCUCGCUCUGGAAGGCCCUGGCGGUGCCCUGCCGUUAAACCCCCAACUUCUGAAAAUUUGACCUCGGAUCAGGUAGGAAUACCCGCUGAACUUAA